rnacentral:rRNA from 1 species
AGCGAACGCUGGCGGCAGGCCUAACACAUGCAAGUCGAGCGCCCAGCAAUGGGAGCGGCAGACGGGUGAGUAACGCGUGGGGAUCUGCCCAAUGGUACGGAAUAACCCAGGGAAACUUGGACUAAUACCGUAUGUGCCCUUCGGGGGAAAGAUUUAUCGCCAUGGGAUGAACCCGCGUCGGAUUAGCUAGUUGGUGAGGUAAAGGCUCACCAAGGCGACGAUCCGUAGCUGGUCUGAGAGGAUGAUCAGCCACACUGGGACUGAGACACGGCCCAGACUCCUACGGGAGGCAGCAGUGGGGAAUAUUGGACAAUGGGCGCAAGCCUGAUCCAGCCAUGCCGCGUGAGUGAUGAAGGCCUUAGGGUUGUAAAGCUCUUUCGCCGGUGAAGAUAAUGACGGUAACCGGAGAAGAAGCCCCGGCUAACUUCGUGCCAGCAGCCGCUGUAAUAC